rnacentral:lncRNA from 1 species
UACUCGCAUCAGACUGAGAAAGGCCGUUUGGGUUCGCCGGUUUUCCACCGCCGCCACCGCCUCCCCAUCUCGAUCCGAAUCGCCGGCCUCCUCCCGCCGGCGAUCUGCCUGGCCGGCAUUCUCGCCUGCCGUCUAUCUGCUCGGUCUGUGCCGCCGGAGUCGAUCCGCGCGGCCGACCUCCUCGAGUCGCCGAUCCAAGCGGUUGCCCGCUGGCAUCGGUCCACGGCGGCGGCCAUCCGCGCGCAUCGUUGUCUUCAGGCCUUGGCGAAGCCAGGGAAUCCAAAGGUUAGACCGCAUAACUUUCAGGUGAUAUUAGGGCCCUACAAGUUAGUGCUGUGCCGGCCAUUGGAAUAUGAUACUUGAUGUAACGAAAUGAUCAAUUAUUGAGGCCUAACAAUGUUCUUUACAUUGAUCCACGAGGAGUGUUGAAGUUGAGAAAGAUGCUGACAAGAUAUCAACCAGACCCACUCAGCAUCCU